rnacentral:rRNA from 1 species
UACAGAGGUCCCAAGCGUUGUUCGGAUUCACUGGGCGUAAAGGGUGCGUAGGCGGUCGGAUAAGUCUGAUGUGAAAUCUUCGAGCUCAACUCGGAAACUGCAUCGGAAACUAUUCGGCUGGAGGAUUGGAGGGGAGACCGGAAUUCUCGGUGUAGCAGUGAAAUGCGUAGAUAUCGAGAGGAACACCAGUGGCGAAGGCGAGUCUCUGGACAAUUCCUGACGCUGAGGCACGAAAGCUAGGGGAGCAAACAGG